AGCGAACGCUGGCGGCAGGCCUAACACAUGCAAGUCGAACGAACCUUUCGGGGUUAGUGGCGGACGGGUGAGUAACACGUUGGAACGUGCCUUUAGGUUCGGAAUAACUCAGGGAAACUUGUGCUAAUACCGAAUGUGCCCUUCGGGGGAAAGAUUUAUCGCCUUUAGAGCGGCCCGCGUCUGAUUAGCUAGUUGGUUGAGGUAAUGGCUCACCAAGGCGACGAUCAGUAGCUGGUCUGAGAGGAUGAUCAGCCACAUUGGGACUGAGACACGGCCCAAACUCCUACGGGAGGCAGCAGUGGGGAAUCUUGCGCAAUGGGCGAAAGCCUGACGCAGCCAUGCCGCGUGAAUGAUGAAGGUCUUAGGAUUGAAAAAUUCUUUCACCGGGGACGAUAAUGACGGUACCCGGAGAAGAAGCCCCGGCUAACUUCGUG
rnacentral:rRNA from 1 species